rnacentral:tRNA from 1 species
UCCUCCGUGGCGCAAUUGGCUAGCGCGUUCGGCUGUUAUCCAGCAGUACACCGAGAGGUUGGUGGUUCGAGCCCACCCGGGGGAG